AUUGAACGCUGGCGGCAGGCUUAACACAUGCAAGUCGAGCGGGGAAGGGUAGCUUGCUACCUGACCUAGCGGCGGACGGGUGAGUAAUGCUUAGGAAUCUGCCUAUUAGUGGGGGACAACAUUCCGAAAGGAAUGCUAAUACCGCAUACGCCCUACGGGAGAAAGCAGGGGAUCUUCGGACCUUGCGCUAAUAGAUGAGCCUAAGUCAGAUUAGCUAGUUGGUGGGGUAAAGGCCUACCAAGGCGACGAUCUGUAGCGGGUCUGAGGGGAUGAUCCGCCACACUGGGACUGAGACACGGCCCAGACUCCUACGGGAGGCAGCAGUGGGGAAUAUUGGACAAUGGGCGCAAGCCUGAUCCAGCCAUGCCGCGUGUGUGAAGAAGGCCUUUUGGUUGCAAAGCACUUUAAGCGAGGAGGAGGCUACUUGGAUUAAUACUCUAGGAUAGUGGACGUUACUCGCAGAAUAAGCACCGGCUAACUCUGUGCCAGCAGCCGCGGUAAUACAGAGGGUGCGAGCGUUAAUCGGAUUUACUGGGCGUAAAGCGUGCGUAGGCGGCUUUUUAAGUCGGAUGUGAAAUCCCUGAGCUUAACUUAGGAAUUGCAUUCGAUACUGGGAAGCUAGAGUAUGGGAGAGGAUGGUAGAAUUCCAGGUGUAGCGGUGAAAUGCGUAGAGAUCUGGAGGAAUACCGAUGGCGAAGGCAGCCAUCUGGCCUAAUACUGACGCUGAGGUACGAAAGCAUGGGGAGCAGACAGG
rnacentral:rRNA from 1 species